ensembl:ncRNA F42G4.9 ncRNA
GACGGAGUGUCAUUUUUCAUUACUUGCUUGUUCGAAUCACACACGUGUCAUAGUUUUCACUUCUUCUUCUUCUUUUCCAUCUCUCGCGGGACCCCGGGCAGCCUACGUCAUUGCGGAGUGGAGAGGAGAGGAGGAAAACG